UCGGCCAUCGCAUCGUGUUCCCAGUCAAAUUUCAAGGGUGAAGCUUCAUUGCUGCCUCGAUUUCAGCUAAUUAAUCUCUUCGUUUCUUGCCUCUUCUCCCUUCAUAGGGUUUAGAGUGGCGUCGAUAGGGAGGAAGUGGGAAAAAGGUUUGAAUGGCCGGAGUCGCAGCACCCUCCCCCACGCGGACGAGGGAGCUUUUCAGGACUCUGUUGAGAGAGGGUCGUAAGUUCUCCAAUUAUAAUGUGCGAGAGUAUGUGAAGAGGAGGACUAUCGAGGGGUUUAAGGAAAACAAGAAUGUCUCUGAUCCAUCUGCGCUUGCUGCAGCUUACGAUUACGGAGUGAAGCAACUUGAGAUUAUCAAGAGACAGGUCAUUGUGUACAAUCUUUAUGCCCCGGCAGUCAAGAAUAUUAUGGAUUUGAAAAUCUCAAAGCCGACUACUUCCUGAAUUUUCUUUUUCCAUGCGGCUUCAUGUCAGUUGGUAGAAAUUUUUUUGGUGGAUUUGCAAUUUUUUCGAGCACCGAAGGCAAUUUCUGAUGGCUUUGCUGAUUUUUGAAGAGUUGAUGUGGAAGUACUAAGACUGAAUAUAGAGUACGGAGGUCUUCAUACAGUAUCUGAUUUUCUGUGCAGUGAGAAUUAUGAUGUUAUGAUUACAUGAUCAAUUAUACCAACUCUUUGAAGCACUA